GAUGUCUGUGGAGUGGAACAGGCGGGCUGGUACAGACAGGUCCUGUCCUUACAAACACUCCACUGGCUGUCCCUUCUUGACCAGCAUGACCUGUGAGUCUCCUAGCCAGGCCACAUGUAGAGUACGACCCCGAAGAAAGGUCACAACCCCGGUGGUGCCACAGCGCAGGAGGCCUGAUCUGCUCUCAUCUGGGAGCGAGUGAUGCUUUCAACCAUAGAUGAUAGCAGCACCAAGGCCAGUAGUCCCAGGACAAUGAAGACUUCCAGGCUCCACCAUGGUGACUGCGACCGCGCUAAGAGGUGCAGUCCAUCUGACUCGCAACUGACAGGGAGGCAAAGCUUCCAGUCCACAAGGUCAUGUUUCGCUGGAUAAUAAGGAACUUCUACAGUGUAAAAAGUGUAAAAUCAUAUUCUGGCAGCUAGAGCCCUAUCUGUGCACCUGAGUUUAAAAUUAAUCCAAAUGCCUCCAGAGAUUAAAGUAUCACCAUAAGUCAUGUUUACCACCAAAAAGUAGCAAACAAUACUUACUAUAUAAUAGAGUUAUAAUUAUUUUUUACAUUUUUCAAUAAAGUGCAGCUCACGUGAGAUCAAAUUGCUUUGUUUAUGUUCCAUAGAGCGGGUCCCUCACAUGGAGGUAGCCAUGUUUAAAAUAGACCUAGUGCAGACUCUCUGACACAUCCAGGCCACUAGGUGUCAGUAUAAAGGUUGUUUCAUGAUGUGAAGAAGACCAUUAAAAAAAUUACUUAUUGCUCCUUUAACAGUAAUCCACCAUUAAUCUGCAGAUGAUAUUUGUGUUCGGAUGUGUUGUACUGAGGAUAACGUCAGCAUGUUGUCUUUCUGUGGUCGUCAGCACAGUUACGCAAAUUAUUUCUGACCUGAAGAAAACAAGUCUAAAAGUACUGAAUGAGACAGGACACACAGAGAAUAAAAUGCUAAUCACACACACAUCUGGAGCUCAGCUCUGAGGACAGGGAAGUGGCAAUAUGAAGCGUGACAUCAGAUCAGAUGUUACAUCUCUCUUCGAAUUCGACAGAACGUUGGUCUAGAACAGUAAUGAUCAUUGCCACUUCCAAUUCCUUAGCCAUUUCUAUUCGAAUAUAGAAAGUUAAGAAAGCAAUUCAGGCCAGCGUUAAGUUGGUAAGUGACCUGAAUACACAGUCAAAUAGGAGAGUUUAAAUUGUGCUGAAUGCCCUACAUUCACUGCAAACCCUGGCUGAUUUCGGAGGGCUGUCAGAACUUCAGGGCAGAUUCUCCUCCUGUUCCAGACUUAAACCCAUCUUCUCUCAGGCUGUAAGCGGUGGAGACAGGCUUAUUUCGUAGCGCUCUCCUCGAUAUGAUUCGGGACUUCUGUUUAAUCAUACGUUUGCAUCGAGAGUCCAGUGUUGCUCGGAGGAAAAUGGGCUUCCCCGUUCUGUCUGGCUCUUGCUGAGGUUUCUACCUCAUAUCUGUAGACUGUAAAAUUGCUUUUUGAGAGUGUCUAUUGUAACAGGAGCCCUAAAUAAAUCGGGACAGACCGGAACUCGGCCACAGUGUCCAAAUUACCCAGCAGCGUCAAACACAAUGUCAAACAGUAUU